AGAGUUUGAUCAUGGCUCAGAUUGAACGCUGGCGGCAGGCCUAACACAUGCAAGUCGAACGGUAACAGGAAGCAGCUUGCUGCUUUGCUGACGAGUGGCGGACGGGUGAGUAAUGUCUGGGAAACUGCCUGAUGGAGGGGGAUAACUACUGGAAACGGUAGCUAAUACCGCAUAACGUCGCAAGACCAAAGAGGGGGACCUUCGGGCCUCUUGCCAUCGGAUGUGCCCAGAUGGGAUUAGCUAGUAGGUGGGGUAAAGGCUCACCUAGGCGACGAUCCCUAGCUGGUCUGAGAGGAUGACCAGCCACACUGGAACUGAGACACGGUCCAGACUCCUACGGGAGGCAGCAGUGGGGAAUAUUGCACAAUGGGCGCAAGCCUGAUGCAGCGACGCCGCGUGCGGGAUGACGGCCUUCGGGUUGUAAACCGCUUUUGACUGGGAGCAAGCCCUUCGGGGUGAGUGUACCUUUCGAAUAAGCACCGGCUAACUACGUGCCAGCAGCCGCGGUAAUACGUAGGGUGCAAGCGUUAUCCGGAAUUAUUGGGCGUAAAGGGCUCGUAGGCGGUUCGUCGCGUCCGGUGUGAAAGUCCAUCGCUUAACGGUGGAUCCGCGCCGGGUACGGGCGGGCUUGAGUGCGGUAGGGGAGACUGGAAUUCCCGGUGUAACGGUGGAAUGUGUAGAUAUCGGGAAGAACACCAAUGGCGAAGGCAGGUCUCUGGGCCGUCACUGACGCUGAGGAGCGAAAGCGUGGGGAGCGAACAGGAUUAGAUACCCUGGUAGUCCACGCCGUAAACGGUGGAUGCUGGAUGUGGGGACCAUUCCACGGUCUCCGUGUCGGAGCCAACGCGUUAAGCAUCCCGCCUGGGGAGUACGGCCGCAAGGCUAAAACUCAAAGAAAUUGACGGGGGCCCGCACAAGCGGCGGAGCAUGCGGAUUAAUUCGAUGCAACGCGAAGAACCUUACCUGGGCUUGACAUGUUCCCGACAGCCCCAGAGAUGGGGCCUCCCUUCGGGGCGGGUUCACAGGUGGUGCAUGGUCGUCGUCAGCUCGUGUCGUGAGAUGUUGGGUUAAGUCCCGCAACGAGCGCAACCCU
rnacentral:rRNA from 1 species